UUAAAUUAUUCGUACGGCAAAGAUGUCGGGAUGUAUGAUUAUAGGCCUAUCCACGCCGACAGAAAAUUGAAGUACAAAAAUAGCAAUUAAUUUAUGUACCUCAUUUGAUUUCACGGAUAUCGGUGUGUGUCGGUCAUCUGAAUUGGUGUGAGGAAGAGGCCUGUAAUUGAGCAUCAGUAUGUUGAUUUUUACACUCUGUGUCAAAAUCUAAAUUACUCUGCCACCAAGCCACCCAAAAUCUGUGUCUGUCUGUCAGCUCAAAUGGAGCCAGUUGUGGUGUGUACGGAGAAUGAAGUGUGCAGACACAACCAUCCAUUUUGCAGAGCAGGCUGGAAGCCAUACGUCCAGAAUGUACUGCUAAGGGCUUGGUGGAAGUCAGGUAUGGUUUGUGUAAUAGAGUGGUUUAUUAAGCUUAUUCCUGAUGCUUUGUUUCAUGUUUGCCUGAUUGGCAGUGCUAAUUAUAUUA